rnacentral:rRNA from 1 species
GAUCCUGGCUCAGGAUGAACGCUAGCUACAGGCUUAACACAUGCAAGUCGAGGGGCAGCAUGGUCUUAGCUUGCUAAGGCCGAUGGCGACCGGCGCACGGGUGAGUAACACGUAUCCAACCUGCCGUCUACUCUUGGACAGCCUUCUAGAAAGGAAGAUUAAUACAAGAUGGCAUCAUGAGUCCGCAUGUUCACAUGAAUUAAAGGUAUUCCGGUAGACGAGUGGGGA